GAGGUAACGGAUCGAUGACGACGUCUGUAACCGUCGGAUCGUGGGCCGCCCGUAGUCAGGGAAAAUUUAUUGCGAGAGGUAGUGGAGCAGAAUCGUGGCCAUCACCGCAGCUCGCCACGUGGAAUCUGUUACGAGGGGUGGAGCAGCGUCCAUUGUCGUGACUUGCCAGCGGAUGGGAGAAUCGCCCGGUAUCCAUCGCAGGAGGUGGAGCAGGUUCG
rnacentral:lncRNA from 1 species